CGUCUCUCCUGACAGGCAGAGUUCCUGGAACCGGGAAGGUUUCUUCCAAAUCCCCUAGGCCUAAGUCCCAAGAUUUUUCUUCUUUUUAUCCCAAGGCUUGAUUUAGUCAAUAGAUAUUUCCUAGUGCUGACUCUGAGCCUGGUCCAGGGCUGCAGCUGGGAGCUGGAGCGCAGGAUGAGUCAGCCGGGAGCUGCCACAUGGCAAUGGACUGUCCACUGUGAGAGAGCACGGGAGCAGAGCUGUAGCUGCAAGUUUAAUCAGCAAAAGGGUGUGGUGAAUGUGUACAGAGAUACUCCCACAACUCAGGAAGGCUGGUACUACAUGGGAGCAAUGAGUGGCCAAAUUUGCGUCACCUGCCUGCACACUGGAUGACAACUGUAUGCAGAGAGGACUGGCUGGUCCCUUAGGACUCCAAGGAGAUAGUGGCCUCACAGUGGCACCUGCCCACAGCCAGCAUUUCUACUGAGUUUUCUUCCUUUCAAAUUGGUCUUCUGGUUAUAGAAAAGGAGAUAUAUCUAGAGGUGGGAUACCCAGAAUCUUCAAAGGUAAGGAUGAAGUUCCAUUUCUUAGGCUGGACAUGAAUUUUUGGUGUGUGGGUGGGGGGGCACUGCUUAACUCAGUACAGUGGGAUACAUGCAUGCAUCACUCCCAGGCCUCAAUGGAAGGCCAGCCCAGGACACAAGCUGUGGGAGAGUCUGCCUGCAAUUUACAGAUUUGGAGAUAGAUACCUUCUAAAGGUGUUUGCAUUUUAAAUCUUUUAUUUUCUAAAGACUUCAUUUUAAAUUCAAAAAUAAAGUUCCUAGUGGUCAAGGUUAUCUGUCUUUCUGGCUAUAGUAAAGGCAGAGUUUGCUUAAAUCUUUCAAAGAAAUACUUUUACCUGCCAGUAACAUUAAGAAACACAUUUCUAAUCUCAAAAAAAUUGAAGUCAACUCACUCUGGGGUUUCCAGCCAAGUAACAGGGAUUUAGAGUCCAGAAAUAUGGUGGUCUUGGGCUGUCUAGUCACAUCUUCCUUAAAUUACAGCUGAGUCACAGUUACUCUACAGAAUGAACGAUUGCCAAGCUUCUCAUGGUGUUCUCCCUUCUCCUUCC
rnacentral:lncRNA from 1 species